GAUGAAGAACGUAGCGAAAUGCGAUAAGUAAUGUGAAUUGCAGAAUUCAGUGAAUCAUCGAAUCUUUGAACGCACAUUGCGCCCCCUGGUAUUCCGGGGGGCAUGCCUGUCCGAGCGUCGUUACAACCCUCAAGCUCAGCUUGGUGUUGGGCCCCGCCGCCCCGGCGGGCCCUAAAGUCAGUGGCGGUGCCGUCCGGCUCCGGGCGUAGUAAUUCUUCUCGCUCUGGAGGUCCGGUCGUGUGCUCGCCAGCAACCCCCAAUUUUUUUCAGGUUGACCUCGGAUCAGGUAGGGAUACCCGCUGAACUUAAGCAUAUCAAUAAGCGGAGGA
rnacentral:misc_RNA from 1 species